rnacentral:tRNA from 1 species
UGGUGUAGCUCAAUUGGUAGAGCAGCUGACUUGUAAUCAGCAGGUCGGGGGUUCGACUCCUCUCACC